UAUAUAUAUAUAUAUAUAUAGAGAGAGAGAGAGAGAAUUAGGUUAGAGUGCUAUCAAUAGCACCAAGCUAUUUCUGCUAUUAUCCUUUUAGCUCUUGGAUUGAGAAAUGUACGGUUAUGAUGAUAUGCCCCCUCUAGGGUUGAGUGGGUGGUUGGUUGAAUAGUAUAAUCUAACGGAUAAAAAUAAUUAAAAGAUUAAAUCUAACGGUGGAAAACUCGAUAGCAUCAAACUCUUGAUGCCAUCAAUAGUAUCACAGUCGAGAGAGAGAGAGAGAGAGAGAGAGAGAGUAGAGCUAGAAUACUAUCGAUAGCAAAUGGGCUCCAUUGCCACCCAUUUGUUUUCGAUAAUGGAGCUUCUGAAUCGACGAUUGGCACCGUUGAACAUGAUCUAUACCACUUAAAGUGUUUAAAAAUCAAAUUUCAUACAUUUUCAAUAUUGUUCUCUUAUUUAUCGAGUGGACACAAAAAUGAACAGCUGAAACUGAAUAUUUUUUUACAAAUGAUAAUAGAAGUCUUGUAAUCAAGAUCAAGAGUAUAGAUCUUGUUUUAAAUAGUUUAAAGAAUUUUUUAACAAAAAUUCAAUUGAUUUGGAUAUCUUUACGCCGUUAAACGAGAAAACGCCUCAUAUCGAUCAUUAAAUUAUAAUUUUUGAAACAUUUUAAUCAUUAGGCAAAUGAUGUCGAAAAGAUUUAAAAUUUGAUUUCUAAACACUUCAAGUGGUAUAGAUCAUAUUCAAUGGUGCCGAUCGUCGAUUUGGAGGCUCCAUCAUCGAAACCAAAUGGGUAACAACGGAGCCCGUUUGUUAUCGAUAGUAUUAUAUAUAUAAAGAGAGAGAGUUGACCUAGAAUACUCUCAAAAGCACUAAUGGGAUGGUGCUUUUGAGUUUUUAGCCAUUGGAUUGAGAGAUGUAGGGUUGAGAUGAUGGUCGUAGAUGGUGGUAGGUGAUGGUAGGUGGAAUAAUAUUUGAUCCAAGGGGUAUUAGUAAUUAAGGAGUAAAUCGAAGGGCUAGAAACUUAGAAGCAUCAAAGGAUUGGUAUUUUUAAAAGUAUUCUAGCUCAAUU
rnacentral:lncRNA from 1 species